UUUCCCAAAUGUGUUAUCCCUCCGUAGCCAGCCUCUGCCGCCAUUGAUUUGAUCUCUUGAGUCGCAAUUCACUUUCUCCCUUUCUCGAAAAACUCCUCGUUUCUCCCUCUACACCCUUCAUCUUUAGGAGGAUUCACUGCUUCGAUGACAUUCAAAGAACAGCCAGACCUGUGUUUUAGGUGAUAAUUCUCUCAUGAAUAGCAUCUUGUCUGGAAACGCUACGGAUAAGAACAUGUCACCUUCAUCUAGAGGUUUGUUUUUUUGGAAAGUACAAUAGCAUGAGCGGAGUCGGAAGAAGUGAUAUGAAAAGGUCCAUGAUAGAGAAGAAUGUGUACUUACCUAGAAAUUAAUAUGCAUAGUCAAGGAGAAAAAGAAUUCUCAAGAUCGAAUCAAUGAUUUAGCAAAAUAUAAGAUACCUAGUUUUAGAGCAUUGCCCCUAGAGUGAAGUUUGGACCAGGAUGGGUAGGAGAGAACGAUCGGACACCACCAAAGCCACUUUUUGUGCCUUCAUCAACAUUACUCUCAUCUCUCCCUCGAGAUUCUGCUCCUGUUGCUAUACCUUGCAAUAUUUUAGUACAUGCUAUAAGACAUGGAUAUGAAUAUUUCAUAAAUUCAUAAAUUAUAACUUUCAUUAUAAAUAA